rnacentral:rRNA from 1 species
AACGAACGCUGGCGGCAGGCCUAACACAUGCAAGUCGAACGCUUGUACCAGGGUAGCAAUAUUCUGGUGCAGGAGUGGCGCAAGGGUGCGUAACACGUGGGUCAUUUGCCGUGAAGCUGGGAACAACUCGCUGAAAGGCGAGCUAAUACCGGAUGUGACUACUGGGGGGCAUCCCUCAUGAGUUAAAGCUGGGGACCGUAAGGCCUGGCACUUCACGAUAAGCCCGCGGCCUAUCAGCUAGUUGGUGAGGUAACGGCUCACCAAGGCCAAGACGGGUAGCUGGUCUGAGAGGACGACCAGCCACACUGGAACUGAGACACGGUCCAGACACCUACGGGUGGCAGCAGUCGAGAAUUUUUCACAAUGGGCGCAAGCCUGAUGGAGCGACGCCGCGUGGGGGAUGAAUGGCUUCGGUCCGUAAACCCCUGUCAUUUGGGAACAAAGUCUGCACGCCAACACCGUGCAGAUUGAUAGUACUGGAAGAGGAAGGGACGGCUAA